GAGCGAGGCCGGCGGCAAUGAAGACUGCUAAUCUUCAUCCCUUUGGUUGAACCCCAAAGCUCCCUCA
rnacentral:tRNA from 1 species